rnacentral:rRNA from 1 species
CAUUUGGGAGGGGCACCCCGGGAACUGGGACUAGUACCUGAUAGAUGGAAGCGCCUGGAAUGGUCUUCCAUCUAAAAGACGUUGAGGGCAUGCUUCUUAACGUCGCCCAAGGAUGGGACCGCACCCGAUCAGGUAGUUGGCGGGGUAAUGGCCCACCAAGCCUAUAACCGGUACGGGCCCUGAGAGGGGUAGCCCGGAGAUGGGGACUGAGACAAGGCCCCAGGCCCUACGGGGCGCAGCAGGCGCGAAACCUCCACAAUGUGCGUAAGCAUGAUGGGGUCACUCCGAGUGCCGUCCGCUGAGGAUGGCUUUUCUCUAGUUUAAGGAGCUGGAGGAAUAAGGGGAGGGCAAGACUGGUGUCAGCCGCCGCGGUAAUACCAGCUCCUCGAGUGGUGGGGACGAUUAUUUGGCCUAAAGCGUCCGUAACCGGCCUAGUAAGUCUCCGGUUAAAUCCGGUGAUUCAAUCAUCGGACUGCUGGAGAUACUGCUGGGCUAGGGGGCGGGAGAGGCCGACGGUAUUCCAGGGGUAGGGGUGAAAUCCUAUAAUCCCUGGAAGACCACCAGUGGCGAAGGCGGUCGGCUAGAACGCGCCCGACGGUGAGGGACGAAAGCUGGGGGAGCAAACCGGAUUAGAUACCCGGGUAGUCCCAGCUGUAAACGAUGCAGGCUAGGUGUUGGGAUGGCUACGAGCCGUUCCAGUGCCGCAGGGAAGCUAUUAGGCCUGCCGCCUGGGGAGUACGGUCGCAAGGCUGAAACUUAAAGGAAUUGGCGGGGGAGCAC